CUGCUCUCUGUGUUUUUUUGGCUACUGCUUUUCAAAUGCAUUGCAUUCCUGAAACACCACCUACCAAGACCCAUCCAAGACCCAGCAAAGGUCCUCUUGGAGACCCUCCGGACCCCGGCCCCACCCAGACGUCCUCCUACUCCUCUGAGGUUGAGACUGCUGCCGGCUCCACCCCUCCUGUCUCGGCGCUGCCCUGGCAGGUGGUGGUCCCGGGCCCCUCCCUCAAAGAGGUCAUCGUCCAGCUGCUGGCUCAGGUCAGCCCUGGGUACAUACCCCCGGGGACCCCUGAGAAGAUCAGCACCGUCCUCCAGGAGACCCGGCGCCUCCUGGCCUCCUCCUUCCCCUGGGUCAGGGUGACGGGGGACUGGCAGCAGGCUAACUGUCUGCUCCAGCCCACCGCUCCUUGCCAGGUGGCCGGGUCCAUCCUGGCCCGCCUGGAGCAGGCGUUGCUCCCCAGAGAGCGGCUGGCGGGGGCUCUGGUCACGGCUCCACACGUCCUCAACUACUACAUGUCCUAUCUGGUGGCGGUGAGUGUAGCCCAGCUGGUCCCACACCAGCUGCAAGCUACUCAGGAGGACCUGCAGAGGGUGGUGCGGGCAGUGCGGAGCAUCCCUCCAGGCUCCAUGCUGACUGUGAGCAGCGACCUGGUGGACACCCUGCUGGUACAGCUCAUCCUGAAGCUCCAGCCCCUCCACGGGGACGGCUACAGGCAGCUGGGCCAGCAGAAGCUCCUGGCCCUCACCCUUCAGCUGAGUGCUUUGACAUUGGAGGCCCUUAGGAGGAUGCCUGGUGUGACGGUGGACACUGCUCUCCCUCGUCCCAGCUGGGAUUUAAGGAGACUUACCUUCCAGGCCCAGAGCCGCCUGAUGCAGGCCUUUGGGACCUUUUACCAGGUCAAGAAACUGAUGGCAGCGGGAAACCCCGAUCUCAUCCGCUGCAUCCCUAGGGAGGUCAUCGAGGUUGUUCUGGCUCAGCAUCAGACAGCCUGCACCGAGGGAACACCUGUCCAGGCUCCCAAGGUGGAGGAGGACCUAAUGGAGAGCAGGCUCUUUAGACAGACGCUCCCUGAGACAGAAAGGGAUCCGAUAUUCCAGGAGUUUGGAACAUGGGUCCGGCACACGAUGAUCUACCGUAAGGCUCUUCCGGAAAUGAGCGAUGAUGUCAUUGCGGAUUACCGCCACAUGGUCAUCCCACGCCCUUCCUCCUACACCACCUGGGUCAACGGAAAGUACUUUGUUGGAGAUGACUACAAGGAAGUGACCUCAUUGGUGGACAAUGUCAGCCUGGCUCACAAUGCUUUUGUAGUGGACGGCAGCGGUGAAGCCCUCCAGAGGGACUUCCAGAACAGCCACAAGCUGCUCCAGGGUCUGACCCAAUCUGAGCCCUCUUCGCCGCAAGACUCUGGGCAGGGUUUGCUUGCCUUUGAUCCUGUGCUUUCUGGAGCCCUUCUGCCUCCAGCAGCUCAGCCACUGCCAGGAUACUCUGCUAAUGCUGCUGCCGCUGCUAGGAACUCUGUCUCAACCACUGAGAAGGUUCUGAUCCAGCGGUCAACUGCUGAACGGGUUGUAGAAGAACUGUUCAGAGGCCAGGACCAAACCUUUUACCAGUCACAGGCCCGCAAGUACCGGGCCUUUGAGAAGGAGAUAGUGGAACAUGUCUACUUGGUGCUGGAGAAGGAGGCCGAGGCAUACAGGAACAACAGAGUGUUCAAACAGACUCUGGAGCGCCUGAUGGACCCCGUGCAAGAGGUCAAACUUGCCGUUGAGCUUCGGCGGCCCCUGAGACAGAAGUUGAUCGUGGCCUUGCCCAACACGUGGCUGACCAGGGAGGGCCUCAUGCAGGACCCCCAGGUAGCCCUGCUGGCCUGCUCCCUUGUAGCAAGAGAGGUGCUCAACCACAUCAAGCCCUCUGUGAGCUUCAGCGCGGAGGUCCAGGGAAGAGACAACACCCCCUAUAGCAUCAACGUCCCUGUGAGGAAGCCGGAGGAAGGAGAUGAGGAGAGAGCUCUCACCCUGCUAGAGGAGCGUCUUCACAAGGAGAACAACGCGAGCAGGGAGGAGUUCCUCGCCUGCCCAGACAAGGAUCCUGAGGAGAAAGAAGUAAAAACCAAAAAGAGGAACUUCUCUUGGCUUUGCCGGCUCUUCAGCUGCAAGAAGAACUGAGAAUGAAACCUAACAUAAUGAGAAUUAACAUGCAUCUUUGGAACCUAAAAUGUAGAUAGGAAUGGAAACCAAACAUCUGGAAACCAAACUUUUAUGCCAAUGAGGGAGACCAACCAUGGACAUUAUCCACAACUUUGGACCCCGACCAUGAACAUCUAAAAUGAAAAAGAAAUAUAUACAUCUCAGAUGGACACAUUUUAUCAUUAACAUUGUGUUUUAACAUUGUUUCAUUUUUUUAUAUUGUAUAUAAAUGUUUACAUUUUAUUAAUUUGUUUCCUUGACAUUCUUUUUGAUUUGACA
ensembl:lncRNA